rnacentral:rRNA from 1 species
GAUGAACGCUGGCGGCGUGCUUAACACAUGCAAGUCGAACGGAAAGGCCCAAGCUUGCUUGGGUACUCGAGUGGCGAACGGGUGAGUAACACGUGGGGGAUCUGCCCUGCACUUCGGGAUAAGCCUGGGAAACUGGGUCUAAUACCGGAUAGGACCACUUCUUGGAUGUUGUGGUGGAAAGUUUUUUCGGUGUGGGAUGAGCUCGCGGCCUAUCAGCUUGUUGGUGGGGUAAUGGCCUACCAAGGCGUCGACGGGUAGCCGGCCUGGGAGGGUGUACGGCCACAUUGGGACUGAGAUACGGCCCAGACUCCUACGGGAGGCAGCAGUGGGGAAUAUUGAACAAUGGGCGCAAGCCUGAUGCAGCGACGCCGCGUGGGGGAUGACGGACUUCGGGUUGUAAACUCCUUUCGCUAGGGACGAAGCGUUUUGUGACGGUACCUGGAGAAGAAGCACCGGCUAACUACGUG